rnacentral:rRNA from 1 species
GAUGAACGCUAGCGGCAGGCUUAACACAUGCAAGUCGAGGGGUAGAAGGAGCUUGCUUCUUUGAGACCGGCGCACGGGUGCGUAACGCGUAUGCAAUCUACCUUUUGCAGAGGGAUAGCCCAGAGAAAUUUGGAUUAAUACCUCAUAGUAUGUGAGGAUGGCAUCAUUUUCACAUUAAAGUCACAACGGCAAAAGAUGAGCAUGCGUCCCAUUAGCUAGUUGGUAAGGUAACGGCUUACCAAGGCUACGAUGGGUAGGGGUCCUGGGAGGGAGAUCCCCCACACUGGUACUGAGACACGGACCAGACUCCUACGGGAGGCAACAGUGAGGAAUAUUGGACAAUAGGGCGGCGAAG